rnacentral:rRNA from 1 species
GGGUUGUGAGGUUAAGCGACUAAGCGUACACGGUGGAUGCCCUGGCAGUCAGAGGCGAUGAAGGACGUGCUAAUCUGCGAAAAGCGUCGGUAAGGUGAUAUGAACCGUUACAGCCGGCGAUGUCCGAAUGGGGAAACCCAGUGCAAUUCGUUGCACUAUCGUUUGAUGAAUACAUAGUCAAACGAGGCGAACCGGGGGAACUGAAACAUCUAAGUACCCCGAGGAAAAGAAAUCAACCGAGAUUCCCCCAGUAGCGGCGAGCGAACGGGGAGCAGCCCGGAGUCUGAAUCAGCUUGUGUGUUAGUGGAAGCGUCUGGAAAGUCGCAGGGUACAGGGUGAUACUCCCGUACACUAAAACACACAGGUUGUGAACUCGAAGAGUAGGGCGGGACACGUGGUAUCCUGUCUGAAUAUGGGGGGACCAUCCUCCAAGGCUAAAUACUCCUGACUGACCGAUAGUGAACCAGUACCGUGAGGGAAAGGCGAAAAGAACCCCGGCGAGGGGAGUGAAAAAGAACCUGAAACCGUGUACGUACAAGCAGUAGGAGCCCACUAGUUGGGUGACUGCGUACCUUUUGUAUAAUGGGUCAGCGACUUAUAUUCUGUAGCAAGGUUAACCGUAUAGGGGAGCCGCAGGGAAACCGAGUCUUAACUGGGCGUUAAGUUGCAGGGUAUAGACCCGAAACCCGGUGAUCUAGCCAUGGGCAGGUUGAAGGUUGGGUAACACUAACUGGAGGACCGAACCGACUAAUGUUGAAAAAUUAGCGGAUGACUUGUGGCUGGGGGUGAAAGGCCAAUCAAACCGGGAGAUAGCUGGUUCUCCCCGAAAGCUAUUUAGGUAGCGCCUCGUGAACUCAUCUUCGGGGGUAGAGCACUGUUUCGGCUAGGGGGUCAUCCCGACUUACCAACCCGAUGCAAACUACGAAUACCGAAGAAUGUUAUCACGGGAGACACACGGCGGGUGCUAACGUCCGUCGUGAAGAGGGAAACAACCCAGACCGCCAGCUAAGGUCCCAAAGUCAUGGUUAAGUGGGAAACGAUGUGGGAAGGCCCAGACAGCCAGGAUGUUGGCUUAGAAGCAGCCAUCAUUUAAAGAAAGCGUAAUAGCUCACUGGUCGAGUCGGCCUGCGCGGAAGAUGUAACGGGGCUAAACCAUGCACCGAAGCUGCGGCAGCGACACUAUGUGUUGUUGGGUAGGGGAGCGUUCUGUAAGCCGUUGAAGGUGGCCUGUGAGGGUUGCUGGAGGUAUCAGAAGUGCGAAUGCUGACAUAAGUAACGAUAAUGCGGGUGAAAAACCCGCACGCCGGAAGACCAAGGGUUCCUGUCCAACGUUAAUCGGGGCAGGGUGAGUCGACCCCUAAGGCGAGGCCGAAAGGCGUAGUCGAUGGGAAACAGGUUAAUAUUCCUGUACUCGGUGUUACUGCGAAGGGGGGACGGAGAAGGCUAUGUUGGCCGGGCGACGGUUGUCCCGGUUUAAGCAUGUAGGCGGAUGUUCCAGGUAAAUCCGGAACGUUAUUAACGCUGAGGUGUGAUGACGAGGCACUACGGUGCUGAAGUGACAAAUGCCCUGCUUCCAGGAAAAGCCUCUAAGCAUCAGGUAACAUCAAAUCGUACCCCAAACCGACACAGGUGGUCAGGUAGAGAAUACCAAGGCGCUUGAGAGAACUCGGGUGAAGGAACUAGGCAAAAUGGUGCCGUAACUUCGGGAGAAGGCACGCUGAUGGUAGGUGAAGUGACUUGCUCAUGGAGCUGAAAUCAGUCGAAGAUACCAGCUGGCUGCAACUGUUUAUUAAAAACACAGCACUGUGCAAACACGAAAGUGGACGUAUACGGUGUGACGCCUGCCCGGUGCCGGAAGGUUAAUUGAUGGGGUUAUCCGUAAGGAGAAGCUCUUGAUCGAAGCCCCGGUAAACGGCGGCCGUAACUAUAACGGUCCUAAGGUAGCGAAAUUCCUUGUCGGGUAAGUUCCGACCUGCACGAAUGGCGUAAUGAUGGCCAGGCUGUCUCCACCCGAGACUCAGUGAAAUUGAACUCGCUGUGAAGAUGCAGUGUACCCGCGGCAAGACGGAAAGACCCCGUGAACCUUUACUAUAGCUUGACACUGAACACUGGUCCUUGAUGUGUAGGAUAGGUGGGAGGCUUUGAAGUGUGGACGCCAGUCUGCAUGGAGCCAUCCUUGAAAUACCACCCUUUAAUGGCUGGUGUUCUAACGUGGGCCCCUGAUCGGGGUUGCGGACAGUGUCUGGUGGGUAGUUUGACUGGGGCGGUCUCCUCCUAAAGAGUAACGGAGGAGCACGAAGGUCAGCUAAUCCUGGUCGGACAUCAGGAGGUUAGUGCAAUGGCAUAAGCUGGCUUGACUGCGAGCGUGACGGCGCGAGCAGGUGCGAAAGCAGGUCAUAGUGAUCCGGUGGUUCUGAAUGGAAGGGCCAUCGCUCAACGGAUAAAAGGUACUCCGGGGAUAACAGGCUGAUACCGCCCAAGAGUUCAUAUCGACGGCGGUGUUUGGCACCUCGAUGUCGGCUCAUCACAUCCUGGGGCUGAAGUAGGUCCCAAGGGUAUGGCUGUUCGCCAUUUAAAGUGGUACGCGAGCUGGGUUUAGAACGUCGUGAGACAGUUCGGUCCCUAUCUGCCGUGGGCGCUGGAGAAUUGAGGGGGGCUGCUCCUAGUACGAGAGGACCGGAGUGGACGCAUCACUGGUGUUCGGGUUGUCAUGCCAAUGGCAUUGCCCGGUAGCUAAAUGCGGAAGAGAUAAGUGCUGAAAGCAUCUAAGCACGAAACUUGCCCCGAGAUGAGUUCUCCCUGACCCUUUAAGGGUCCUGAAGGAACGUUGAAGACGACGACGUUGAUAGGCCGGGUGUGUAAGCGCAGCGAUGCGUUGAGCUAACCGGUACUAAUGAACCGUGAGGCUUAACCUUACAACGCCGAAG